rnacentral:lncRNA from 1 species
CAAGCAGCCUCAGUAGGGAUCAUGCCAGUCAUAACCCUAAAUACAGGGGAAGGAUCUCAAACACCAUGUGGUACAGAGGUGAGACAAGAAGGGACUGUGACAGAUCCACAGAGCUGACUGAAGCUGUGACACUCAUUGUCUUCCUGUGGAUUCCUGCAAUCACGCAGGAUUCUGCACAUUCUGAACAACUCACUUCGUCCCUCAAGAGAUUAUAGACAAAGGGCUACAGUCAGUCUUACUAUCAUAAGUGUGAAAUAACCCCUUUCAACUUAACCGUGAUAGAACUGGAGCAGAUGUUGGAGAUGGUGGAAAUUGGUCCUGGCCCCUUGGGUUGGGACAACGAAGCAAGAUGCCUACCUGUUGUCCACUCUACAUUAUACAGAGAACCAGGGAAAGAGAAUAUGAACACUCAGAGAAACAAACCUUUUUGUGAAGAAAAGCUUCUAUCUCAGCAGUAUCAUGGAUGUCAAUCACAUUUAAACAGGCUGCAAAGAAAUAGAAGAUGGCAUUUUAGCGUGGUCAACAAAAGCAACUUCUCUGGAGUGGUAUAGGUAUUUUUAUUUUUUCCAUAAAGCUGAGUAGAAGCCAGCAAAGGUAUAGACUGAGGUCACUGGUUUCAGUGACUGGAAGGAACAACCCUAGCUCCCUGAAAUAGUUCUUGCUCCUGCCCUCUGUAUUUUAGUCAUGUAAAAAUGACAGCAUCAGUUCAGUGUAAAACCUUGCAGUGAUAAAACACCCCUCCACACACACACACACUCCCUUUACACCCAAAAAUAUAUUUGUAUCUGGGUUGAAAUGUUAGAAUGGAAUACCUUUACUCACAAUUUUUGUUAUGAUUAUUUACAGCCAGACAGGCAGAC